rnacentral:rRNA from 1 species
UGAGGUGGAGCUAAUCCCAAAAAGCCGGUCUCAGUUCGGAUUGAGGUCUGCAACUCGACCUCAUGAAGUCGGAGUCGCUAGUAAUCGCAGAUCAGCAACGCUGCGGUGAAUACGUUCCCGGGCCUUGUACACACCGCCCGUCAAGUCACGAAAGUUGGUAACACCCGAAGCCGGUGGCCUAACCCCUUGUGGGAGGGAGCCGUCGAAGGUGGGACUGGCGAUUGGGACUAAGUCGUAACAAGGUAGCCGUACCGGAAGGUGCGGCUGGAUCACCUCCUUU